CCUACGGGAGGCUGCAGUAGGGAAUCUUCCACAAUGGGCGAAAGCCUGAUGGAGCAACGCCGCGUGGGUGAAGAAGGUCAUCGGAUCGUAAAACCCUGUUGUUAGAGAAGAAAGUGCGUGAGAGUAACUGUUCACGUUUCGACGGUAUCUAACCAGAAAGCCACGGCUAACUACGUGCCAGCAGCCGCGGUAAUACGUAGGUGGCAAGCGUUAUCCGGAUUUAUUGGGCGUAAGGGGAACGCAGGCGGUCUUUUAAGUCUGAUGUGAAAGCCUUCGGCUUAACCGGAGUAGUGCAUUGGAAACUGGGAGACGUGAGUGCAGAAGAGGAGAGUGGAACUCCAUGUGUAGCGGUGAAAUGCGUAGAUAUAUGGAAGAACACCAGUGGCGAAAGCGGCUCUCUGGUCUGUAACUGACGCUGAGGUUCGAAAGCGUGGGUAGCAAACAGGAUUAGAUACCCCUGUAGUC
rnacentral:rRNA from 1 species